rnacentral:misc_RNA from 1 species
AACGGUCUAUACCUGCGGUACCUGCGGAAGGAUCAUUACCGAGUUUACAAAACUCCCAAACCCUUUGUGAACCUUACCUAUCGUUGCUUCGGCGGGAACGCCCCGGCGCCCUCGCGGCCCGGAACCAGGCGCCCGCCGGAGGCCCCAAACCCUCAUGUCUUUAGUGGUUUCCUCCUCUGAGUGACAUAAACAAAUAAAGUAAAAACUUUCAACAACGGAUCUCUAGAUCGGAAGAGCACA